UAUAAAAGCAGGACAGAAUCUGGGACAGAUUCAUUCAGUCUACAGCAGCGGUCCUGGGAAGAACUCUAAAGAAGAAGGAAGAGGAAGCAGCCAAAGGAGCUACGGAGCAGCCGAGGAGCCGGGACACUGGAGGAGCCCUAGGACGCCGGCGAAGCAAUGUAUAAAGGUCCUGUUAAAUAAUAAAUUAAAAAAAAAAAAGCCCUACGGAGCCCUACUGCAGGGUCAAGAUCGCCGAAGAAGCCAGCGAAGCCCUACUGCGGGGUCAAGGUCGUCAGCGAAGCCCUACGGAGCCCUACGACGGGGACAAGAUCGCCAGGGAAGCCCUACGAAGGAUCUUCAGAAGAGCCUCAACGUAUAGGCUCCGGACAGAGGAGUUCAACGGGUAGACUCCGCCCUGCGGGCAGUCUCCGAACUCAUCUGCCUGUAAAGGGCAGACGCCACACCACUCCGAGCAACGAGGCUUCAGUAGCAGAGCGACGGCUACUAGAUCCGGAGCUUCGGAUUCCAGUUUAGCCUCGAGAACUUCUGGACUCAGAAGUUCGGAACUACACCAUGAUCGCUUCAAACGGAUAUAGAUUUAUUAGCUUUGCAAAAUGGUUGAGUUACAUAGGGUUUAUCUUUUGUAUUUUCAUGUUUAAUAGCUUUUGCUUAAAAUCAGUUUUAGUUUAUUUUCAAGCAAGUGUAAUUAAUAAUUUAUAUUUUAUAGUACAAAUAAUAGAAGCCUUCGCUCUUCUAUAUCCAAAGCUUGACAGUUUUCUUUUAGCGUUCUUUCUGCAAGCUUUUUAGAUUACGAACGCUAAAAUAGACUCACGUCGCUUAAAUUUAGACGCUAGGUAGGUAAGUCGAGGGAUAAAACAAAUUAGCUUCAAAAUAGAAUACAAAUCCACAUAAAAUAAAAUCAAGAUCAAAUAUUCCGGUUAAUAAACGCUUUAAACUCUA